rnacentral:lncRNA from 1 species
UAACCUGACUAAUUAUUCCAGUGUUGCAUAUAAUAGGUAGGAGUACAGGAUUAUGGAAGACUAUUUAGCCAUUAUUUUUAAAACGUUCAUCUACCAUAGCUAUUUCCCAAAGGCAAAUGUAGGUGUAUAUUCUGGUAUAUGACAGGUGAUAGGCAAAUAUGUGAAUGGUAUUAAAUGACUGAGGAGAAGAAGAAGUGACUAUCUACGCAUCACUGCAUUUUCCAGCAAUUGCUGAGGAACUGUGAACAAGUUGCUCUUUUAGAGUACCAUGCUCUUCCACGUUAGGUCCUCAUAUGAGUAGCAUCCACAGGCAAAAGAGCUCGUUGGAAAUAAGAACCUCAAGACUCAUCUGAGACCACCAGGAUUAGAGACAAAGUGGUACUCAGAUGCCCAGAUAACUUUUAUGCAGAUUAAAGUUAGAGACAAUCCCAUGAGAAAAAUUCUAGAACUGACUCUUUGCUGGGCUUAACAGAGCUGAUGGUUAAAUUUUUCAGUAACUGCCAAAGUUGAUUAAUGACAGCUUUAGGAACUUUGGAAUUGUUAAGGAUAAAGCUGCUCUACCAGGACAGUCAGAAACCAGUACAAUUCAGGAACUUGUUUGUUUGUUUGUUUGUUUGUUUGUUUUGAGAGCAGCAACUUAUUAAAUUUUUCUUAUUGAAAACACUUGGAAUGAUACUCUCUGUUCCUAUCGCUUAUCUAUGCAAUAGAAUGAAAAUUAUAAAGUAAUAAUGAUACUUAUAUCAGAGGGCUAUUUUGAAGUAUAGAUAUAUGUGUGGUGUGUGUAUGUGUGUGUGUGUGUGUGUAGUCCCUAUGAUUUAAUUUUAGCCACUUUUCUAGUGUUGACUAAUAAUGCAAUUUUUUAGAUAUGAAUCCUUCUGUAAAGUAAUAUAAAAUUUUAUAUCAAUCAAUUAACCUAUGUAUCUAUGUAUUCUGUGUAUUUAUUUGUCUCUGUAUGUACGUCUAUCUAUCUAUCUAUCUAUCUAUCUAUCUAUCUAUCUAUCUAUCUAUCUAUCUAUAUCUAUAUAUCUAUCUAUCUUUCUAAACAUUUGCCUGCCUAACUAUUCAUCCCACUAUUUUGGAGACAGGUUUUUUUCUAUGUAAGCCUGUCUGACUUAUGUAUUUAAGACUGGUUUUAUAUUCACAGAUAUCUGUCUGCUUCUGUUUCCUUAAUGAAUGUUUAAAAAUGUAUGCCACCACACCCUUGCUUGAUAAUUCAUUUGUUAUUAUUGUUUUGGUUGUUUGUUUAAUUUUGUUGUUGUUUGCUUCUUUUGAGAGAAAGUUUUUCUGUACAGCCUUAGCUGUCAUGGGACUCUGUAGACCAGGCUUGCCUCUAACUCAGAUAUUUGCCUGCCUCUGCCGCUUGAGUGCUGAGAUUAAAGAUAUGUGCCACUAUCACUUGGAUUUCUAUUUUAUAUAAAAACAACUGAGGCAAUUUCAGGAAAAUAUACUAAUAUGGGAAGUUCAAGAAUUUGGUGGAAGUAAAAAGACAAUGAGAUAGCACUUGAGUGUCUAAGUCACUGGAACUUACAGGCAAUGUUGAGGAACCAAAGGUGGCUGAGAAAGAGUGUCCAUUGUUUGGACUGGUUUCCUCUAGAGCCAUUCCAUGCAUUCAUCAGCAUCAGCCAAAUAAUAUUUCUUUUUCCUCUUAAACUUGUGAAAUACCUACUCAUUCUGUUAGAUACCAUAUGUGCUUAUUGCAUAAACCCCUCACAGAAAUCAAAUCUACAGAACCUAUAGAAAACAUGGCAAACUUUCUGAUGUAUGAGGUAGAGACCAGUAUAAAUUUGUUAAGCAAAACCUAUUGAAGAGGUGAUAUUAUAAGUACUAAUCUGAAAAUAAAUGUAGAUGCUGAAUUAUCAGACGCCCUUGUUUACCUUUGGUUGUCUUGUUUCCAUUGAAUAGCUCACGUGACCUUUACAGUGGACCCAUCUGAACACCUAUUAAUAGAUAACACCUCUUCCAGGAAGCUCUCUUUAACAUCACCAGGCAGGAUGUUACAUCUCUAUGCCUCUAGCCUUCCUAACAUUAUACUUCUCCUAAAGUAGGUACCUGUGCUAUUUGUGUUUCUUAGGCUUUGACAGCUGUAUUUUUGGCCUUUUAAAGGUAGAAAGAAGAAGCUCUGACAGACUGGCUGUGCACACAAAUAGUAUAUGUGCAUCAAAAAUUCAUAUGAAAGGAGGAGCCAUGUGAAGAAAAAAAGAAUUUUAGACUUCUGUUCCCUGGGUUCAAAUAAUGCUUCUGAUUUUACUGAAGGAUUAUGUAAAUCACAAGAUUUUUAAUGAAUCCCCCUGUCUCAAUUUUGCACAGUAAGACAAAGUGGAAAUUUUUACUUUUUUUCUGAUAAUGAAUACUAAUUUUGACUAUGUAAUAUUCUGCUAUUAAUGUAUUUGUUCUCAUUAAUGAAGCUAUAAUAUUUAAAAGGUAUAGGGGUCAGUGAUGGUUUUUCAUCUGAUUUUGGCCAACGUCUUUGACAGGUUACAUACCAUUAUGAGAACAAUUGACCAGUUUCUGGAAGGAAACCGUGUGGUAUGGAUUUAAACCAGAAUUAACUGUCUAACUUGAAACCCAUUCAAGAGAUUGUUGCAGAUUGUGUAGUCUGACUAAAAGGACAAGAGCAUGUGAGUUUAUCCAAACAACCUCAGAAUAAAUCUGCUGGCCUUCAGGUUGGCCUGACCCUUUAAUAAACAGUUGCAGAGC